rnacentral:rRNA from 1 species
UACGUAGGGUGCAAGCGUUGUCCGGAUUUAUUGGGUUUAAAGGGUGCGUAGGCGGCCCUGUAAGUCAGUGGUGAAAUACUCCAGCUUAACUGGAGGGGUGCCAUUGAUACUGCAGGGCUUGAGUUAAGUUGAAGUUGGCGGAAUUGACGGUGUAGCGGUGAAAUGCUUAGAUAUCGUCAAGAACACCUAUAGCGAAGGCAGCUUACUAGGCUGUAACUGACGCUGAGGCACGAAAGUGUGGGGAUCAAACAGG